UUUCCGAGUUGCUUUUGCAAUAAUUACCUCACCUUAUCCCUGGUAGACUGGAAGGAUCAGAAGAAGGAUCUGAAGCCCGCAGAGGGCCACACUGCCUAUCUUAUUCCGCCUCUCCAGGGAUGGGAAUUUAAACUGAGGCUAAUCCAGAAGACGCCGGUCACCGACGACACCGACGAUAGGAUGAAAAGGCGGGCCCAAGAUUUCCAGCUUCCAGAGACCCCCCUAGAAGAACGAACGAGAGAAUCGUAUCCGGGGGCAGGCGUCCGCAAGGAAUGUUGACCCCUAGGGAAACAGAAGUCGCUAGGCCCGCUCCCUGUAGAAAAAUUCCUCUUCUUCGUGCGCUCUCGACAUCUUCAAGGCAACCUACUCCUCUCUCUCAGUAACCUAUAGCUCUUUCCGUGAUGUUUUUACAUGGGAGAUAGCCGCUUUUGGAGCUUUGCAGUUCACAAGUUCUGGUGUACCAAAUCCUGGCUUCCUGGUCGUGCAGUGCGGCUGAGAAAAUGCAGAUGGGAACCUCUGCUGUUUUAUAUUAAAGUCUGGGAAAUGUC